AGGGAGCAAGCGUUAUCCGGAUUUACUGGGUGUAAAGGGCGUGUAGGCGGGCUUGCAAGUUGGAAGUGAAAUCCAGGGGCUUAACCCCUGAACUGCUUUCAAAACUGCGAGUCUUGAGUGAUGGAGAGGCAGGCGGAAUUCCCAGUGUAGCGGUGAAAUGCGUAGAUAUUGGGAGGAACACCAGUGGCGAAGGCGGCCUGCUGGACAUUAACUGACGCUGAGGCGCGAAAGCGUGGGGAGCAAA
rnacentral:rRNA from 1 species